rnacentral:rRNA from 1 species
GACUGGAGUCUGCAACCCGACUCCACGAAGCUGGAUUCGCUAGUAAUCGCGCAUCAGCCACGGCGCGGUGAAUACGUUCCCGGGCCUUGUACACACCGCCCGUCAAGCCAUGGGAGCCGGGGGUACCUGAAGUGCGUAACCGCGAGGAGCGCCCUAGGGUAAAACUGGUGACUGGGGCUAAGUCGUAACAAGGUAGC